rnacentral:snoRNA from 1 species
AAAUGAUGAAAACAUCAGAUAAAUAUAGCUGGAAUUACCGGCUGAAUGACAGUGUUGAAAAUAUCUGGGCACAUCUGAUA